rnacentral:rRNA from 1 species
UACAGAGGGGGCUAGCGUUGCUCGGGAUCACUGGGCGUAAAGGGUGCGUAGGCGGGUCGUUAAGUCAGGGGUGAAAUCCUGGAGCUCAACUCCAGAACUGCCCUUGAUACUGGCGAUCUCGAGUUCGGGAGAGGUGAGUGGAACUGCGAGUGUAGAGGUGAAAUUCGUAGAUAUUCGCAAGAACACCAGUGGCGAAGGCGGACUCACUGGCCCGAUACUGACGCUGAGGUGCGAAAGCGUGGGGAGCAACAGG